ACGGGGCCGUAGGAACACAACUUGAAGCCCUGCGUCUCGCCCCCAACCAGAGUUUAACAACAAAUGUUGUCGGCACCCCACAAAAAACGGCGGCGAAAUAAUUUAAUGCAGAAUCAGGAUAAUCAUCUUGAACGUCUUUGCGCCCGCCAGUUUUUGGCGGGCACCCUGUUAGAGGGUCAUCCAACCAUCAAGCCCCGGGCUUGUGUUGGGGCCCUGCGGCUGCCGCAGGCCCCGAAAACCAGUGGCGGGCUCGCUGUCACACCGAGCGUAGUAGUUACCACCUCGCUCCGGGCGUGCCGCGGGUUCCGGCCGUUAAACCCCCCACUUUCCAAAGGUUGACCUCGGAUCAGGUAGGAGUACCCGCUGAACUAAGCAUUCAAGAACACGAGAAAGUACG
rnacentral:rRNA from 1 species